UAAAAAUCUCCGGCGUUACAUAAACCUAAAAAGUAUUAAAAAAAUAUCAAUAACUUGAUAAGUACAAAAAUACUCUUUAGCUAUAAAUCCAAUCUAUUCUUCCAUAAUCCAAAAUGUGCGGACCUUGCGGUGGAUGUUGCGGCGGCCCCUGCUGCGGCCCAUGCUGCCCUUGCAUAACCAUCUACACGUGCUGUACAAAGAUUUGUUAACCGUGGGCAUUAAAGGGUGAAUCGUCGCCGCCAGUCUCAUGGAGGUGCUUCGACCCCCUUGUGUUCCGUCUAAUCGAUGCCGUUUUGUCUAAAUAAAUUACAAAAUAUGUAA